rnacentral:rRNA from 1 species
AUUGAACGCUGGCGGCAGGCCUAACACAUGCAAGUCGAGCGAGCGGCGGACGGGUGAGUAAUGUAUGGGGACUGCCCGAUAGAGGGGGAUAACUACUGGAAACGGUGGCUAAUACCGCAUACUAUCGGAUAACCCAUAUGGGAUUAGCUAGUAGGUGGGGUAAAGGCUCACCUAGGCGACGAUCUCUAGCUGGUCUGAGAGGAUGAUUAGCCAAACCGGGACUGAGACCCGCCCCAACUCCUAAGGGAGGGAAGCGGGGGGGAUUAUUCAAAAUGGGCGGAAACCCGAUGCAACCAUGCCGCGGUGAAUGAGAAGGCCUUUGGGUUUGAAAGUAAUUUCAGCCGGGAGGCGUUACCCGCAGAAGAAGCACCGGCUAACUCCGUGCCAGCAGCCGCGGUAAUUC